AUAGAAAAAGUUAUUGUAAAUAAAUAGUUUAUAUAAAAUUAAAAAAAAUAAUUUUAUUUUUAUUAUGUUAAAGAAAAAAUUUUUAUAAUUAUAGAGUAAUAGUAUUGUGAGAGAAAGUUUAAAUAUUUUGUAAAAGAAAAUUUUGUGUGUUGUACCUUGUGUAUCAGGGUUGAUUAAUUAUUAAUUAAAAAUUUUAGUUUUUUCGAAUUUGAAAGGGUUAAUAAUUUAUUAAUUUUAUUGUAGAAUAAAUAUUUUUAAUUAAUUAUUAGUAAUGAAAUGUUAUUCGUUUUUAAAUAUAUCUGGUUUUUAAAGAAAUUAAUUUAAUUAAGUUUUUAUUAAUAUUAAAUUAAGUUUUAAAUUUAAUGUUAGUGAAAGGUUAUAUUAUUAGGGAAGAGCUUAAUAAUAAAUUAUUAUAAGUUUAUAAGUUAUAUAUAAAAUGUAGGAUUAAAAUUUUUUAUCAUUAGUAAAAUGUUAUAAUUGAUUAUAUUUAAAUAUGAUUUAUAUAAAUUUUAAAUUUUUUAUUUAAAUUUUAAUUUUAAUUUUAGAAAUUAAGUAAUAAUGAUUAAAUUAGUAUAUUUUAUAUGUAAUUAUAAAUUGAUAUAUAAUUUUAGUUAAAGGAAUUCGGCAAAAAUUUUUCCACCUGUUUAUUAAAAACAUGGCUUAUAGAUUAUAUUUUUAGGUCUGUCCUGCCCACUGAUUUAUUAAAUGGCCGCGGUAUUUUGACCGUGCAAAGGUAGCAUAAUCAUUAGUUUUUUUAUUGAAAGCUGGAAUGAAGGGAUGAAUGAGAAAAUUUCUGUCUUUAAUUAAAUAAUAGAAUUUUAUUUUUAAGUAAAAAAGCUUAAAUAAUUUUAAAAGACGAGAAGACCCUAUAGAGUUUAAUAUUUUAGAUAAUUUUAUUUUUAGUUUUAAAAUUUAAGUUAUUGAAAAAUAUUUAGUUGGGGUGAUUGAAAAAUUGAAUUAACUUUUUUUAAAUUUUUACAAAGAUGUUUGAAUUUUUGAUCCGUUUAAAUGAUUAAAAGAUUAAAUUACCUUAGGGAUAACAGCGUAAUUUUUUUAGAGAGUUCUUAUCGAAAAAAAAGUUUGCGACCUCGAUGUUGGAUUAAAAUUAAAGUUUGGUGUAGAAGCUAGAUUAUUUAGUCUGUUCGACUAUUAAAAUUUUACAUGAUCUGAGUUUAAACCGGUGUGAGCCAGGUUGGUUUCUAUCUUUAAAUUAUAUUAAUAUUUUAGUACGAAAGGACCGAGUAUUAGAUUAAUAAUUUAAAUUUUGAAUUAUAUU
rnacentral:rRNA from 1 species